rnacentral:rRNA from 1 species
UGCAUAUCCAAUAGCGGAGGAAAAGAAACUAACAAGGAUUCCCCUAGUAACUGCGAGUGAAGCGGGAAAAGCUCAAAUUUAAAAUCUGGUGGUCUUUGGCCAUCCGAGUUGUAAUCUAGAGAAGUGUUAUCCGCGCUGGACCGUGUACAAGUCCCCUGGAAUGGGGCGUCAUAGAGGGUGAGAAUCCCGUCUUUGACACGGACUACCAGGGCUUUGUGAUGCACUCUCAAAGAGUCGAGUUGUUUGGGAAUGCAGCUCAAAAUGGGUGGUAAAUUCCAUCUAAAGCUAAAUAUUGGCGAGAGACCGAUAGCGAACAAGUACCGUGAGGGAAAGAUGAAAAGAACUUUGGAAAGAGAGUUAAACAGUACGUGAAAUUGUUGAAAGGGAAACGCUUGAAGUCAGUCGCGUCUGCCAGGGAUCAACCUUACUUUUGUGAGGCGUACUUCCUGGUUGAUGGGUCAGCAUCAGUUUUGGUCGCUGGAUAAAGGUCAGAGAAAUGUGGCACCUUCGGGUGUGUUAUAGUCUUUGAUCAGAUACAGUGGCUGGGACUGAGGAACUCAGCGCCGCAAGGCUGUCUUAGGAUGCUGGCAAAAUGGCUUUAAUCGACCCGUCUUGAAACACGGACCAAGGGAGUCA